GACGAACGCUGGCGGCGUGCCUAACACAUGCAAGUCGAGCGAUGAAGUUUCCUUCGGGAAAUGGAUUAGCGGCGGACGGGUGAGUAACACGUGGGUAACCUGCCUCAUAGUGGGGAAUAGCCUUUCGAAAGGAAGAUUAAUACCGCAUAAGAUUGUAGUUUUGCAUGAAACAGCAAUUAAAGGAGCAAUUCGCUAUGAGAUGGACCCGCGGGGCAUUAGCUAGUUGGUGAGGUAACGGCUCACCAAGGCCACGAUGCGUAGCAGACCUGAGAGGGUGAUCUGCCACAGUGGGACUGAGACACGGCCCAGACUCCUACGGGAGGCAGCAGUGGGGAAUAUUGCACAAUGGGGGAAACCCUGAUGCAGCAACGCCGCGUGAGUGAUGACGGUCUUCGGAUUGUAAAGCUCUGGCUUUAGGGACGAUAAUGACGGUACCUAAGGAGGAAGCCACGGCUAACUACGUGCCAGCAGCCGCAGUAAAAC
rnacentral:rRNA from 1 species